rnacentral:rRNA from 1 species
AACGAACGCUGGCGGCAUGCCUAACACAUGCAAGUCGAACGAGACCUUCGGGUCUAUUGGCGCACGUGUGCGUAACGCCUGGGAACCUGCCUUUAGGUUCGGUAUAACUCAGAGAAAUUUAAGCUAAUACCGGAUGAUGUCUUCGGACCAAAGAUUUAUCGCCUUUAGGUGGGACUGGGUUGGAUUCGCGGGUUGGAGGGGUAAACGCCUACCAAGGCGACGAUCCAUAGCUGGUGGGUGAGGAGGAACAGCGACACUGGGACUGGGACACGGCCCAUACUGGAAGGGGCGGUGGGGGUGGGGACACAUGGGGCGGGGGCGAGAGGCUGCACCGGCAAGGGCGGGUUGGUGAUGAAGGGCUUGGAGUCGUAAAGCGCUUUACCCGAGACGAUAAUGACAGUAACGGGUGAAUAAGCACCGGCUAACUACGUG